UACGUAGGGGGCUAGCGUUAUCCGGAAUUACUGGGCGUAAAGGGUGCGUAGGUGGUUUCUUAAGUCAGAGGUGAAAGGCUACGGCUCAACCGUAGUAAGCCUUUGAAACUGGGAAACUUGAGUGCAGGAGAGGAGAGUGGAAUUCCUAGUGUAGCGGUGAAAUGCGUAGAUAUUAGGAGGAACACCAGUGGCGAAGGCAGGUCUCUGGGCAGUUACUGACGCUGAGGAGCGAAAGCAUGGGUAGCGAACAGGAUUAGAUACUCUGGUAGUCCCU
rnacentral:rRNA from 1 species